rnacentral:rRNA from 1 species
UACGGCUCAGUAACACGUGGAUAACUUAUCCUGUGGUCUGGGAUAACCCCUGGGAAACUGGGGCUAAUACCGGAUAGAGCAUUGAUCGCUGGAAUGCACGAUGCUCGAAAGCUGCGGCGCCAAAGGAUAGGUCUGCGGCCGAUUAGGUUGUUGUUGAUGUAACGGAUCAACAAGCCUCCGAUCGGUAUGGGUUGUGAGAGCAAUAGCCCAGAGAUGGGUUCUGAGAGAAGAACCCAGGUCCUACGGGACGCAUCAGGCGCGAAAACUUUACAAUGUGCGAAAGCACGAUAAGGGAACUCUGAGUGCCUCCUACGGAGGCUGUUCAGGUGUUUAAAAGCAUUUGAAGGAAGGGCUGGGUAAGACCGGUGCCAGCCGCCGCGGUAACACCGGCAGCCCAAGUGGUGGCCACUUUUACUGGGUCUAAAGCGUUCGUAGCCGGCUAAGUAAGUUCCUUGGGAAAUUUGAUCGCUUAACGAUUAAGCUUUCAGGGAAUACUGUUUGGCUUGGGACCGGGAGAGGUCAGAGGUACCUCAAGGGUAGGGGUGAAAUCCGUUAAUCCUUGGGGGACCGCCAGUAGCGAAGGCGUCUGACCAGACCGGAUCCGACGGUGAGGGACGAAGGCUAGGGUAGCGAACCGGAUUAGAUACCCGGGUAGUCCUAGCUGUAAACGAUGCGGACUAGGUGUUGGCAUUACUGCGAGUGAUGCCAGUGCCGAAGGGAAGCCGUUAAGUCCGCCAUCUGGGGAGUACGGUCGCAAGGCUGAAACUUAAAGGAAUUGGCGGGGAGCAC